AUUUUCCUUCUUUCACUCUAUUCUUUCUUCUCCAGAUCUCCGGUAAAGAUCAAUUCCUCUAUUUCCUUCUUCAUUUGUCAUCAUUACUUUCUCCCCUUUCCUUUCUUUGAGAUCUAUGUUUUCUUUUUCAAAGGACAACCACAAAAAUUUCAUUAGACCACCACCGCUUGAACUCCUUGCACCGCCGACGUCACAACUCAGUCCACCGCCGUUGCCGUUCACUCCAUCUCCACAUCACGGCCAGAUUCAUACUCUACACAGCACUAUUGCACCCUACACCGACCGUCACCGUCCCACCCUACAACGCCGCCGCAGUCUACACCACCGCACCAACCACCCUGUACCACUUGCAGAUCUGGCCAGCUGAACUCCUUCCACAGGCACUUAUUGUUUUUUUUUUUUCUGGAAAUUUUAUGUAUAAUUUCCUUAUAAAUGAAUACUAUUGAUAAUUUAAAUAAUAUUUGG
rnacentral:lncRNA from 1 species